AGGAAGGUGGGGAUGACGUCAAGUCCUCAUGGCCCUUAUAGGUGGGCUACACACGUCAUACAAUGGCCGGUACAGAGGGUAGCCAACCCGCGAGGGGGAGCCAAUCCCACAAAGCCGGUCGUAGUCCGGAUCGCAGUCUGCAACUCGACUCGCGUGAAGUCGGAAUCGCUAGUAAUCGCGGAUCAGCAUGUCCGCGGUCGAAUACGUUCCCGGGCCUU
rnacentral:rRNA from 1 species